UCUGGCUUUAUCUCCUUGUAGGGGAUCCAUUGGUGGAAAGCAUUUCCCUUGAACUGCCUGAAGCUGUUGUGAAGGAUUCUGCCCAUGCCACCAUUUCUGCUGUUGGAGAUAUUUUAGGCAUCUCACUGCAACAUUUAGAGGGACUGAUUCAGCUACCCCUUGGCUGUGGUGAACAAAAUAUGAUCAAAUUUGUACCCAACAUUCUUGCGCUCCAGUACUUGGAGAAGACCAACCAGGCAACUCCUGAGACCAAACACUUGGUGAAAAAUUUAAUGAAAAUGGGUUACCAGCGUCAGCUGCUCUACAAGCAUGAUAAUGGUUCCUACAGUGCCUUUGGGAAGCGUGAUACUGAAGGGAAUACAUGGUGAGUAAGCAGACCAAGUG